rnacentral:lncRNA from 1 species
GACCUACGCUGUCAGGGAGUGUUUACUUCGCCUACACUUCUGUUCCUCCCCGCCCUGGUGCUGCUCCAGGUCACAUACUCGUCCUGAGCUGGCUUCAGCCUCUGCACAGAAGUCUCCCGGAGCCAUGGCCUAGUACUCUUAUGUGAAGUCUACCAAGCUUGUGCUCAAGGGAACCGAGAUUUGCCUGAGGUUGACUGUACAUACAAAUAUUGAGCAUUUCCUCCUGGCCUCCGUGAUAAACAGAAGUUUUGAUAUUGUUAGGCGAGAUGGAAAGAAAGUAUCAAGGAGUGAGCUGAAGCCACUGCCCUUGAGAACCCUCUCGAGGAGUCUGGCCUCAUGAAGAUGCCAGAAUAAAUGGCAGUAAGAAGAAAAAGAGCAAAGAUAAGAAGAGAAAAAGAGAAGAAGAUGAAGAAACCAGCUUGAUAUGUUGGAAUCUGGUGAACAGUAACAAACUUUGGUGAAAUUUCAGGAACCCUAGCCAUUGAAAUGGAUGAGGGAACCUAUAUACAUGCACUCGACAAUGGUCUUUUUACCCUGGGAGCUCCACACAAAGAAGGGGAAAAUGGCUUUGUUGGCCUCAAAUAGAUGCUUUAUUAGAUACAAUGAAGCAGGGGACAUAGAAGCAAAAAGUAAAACAGCAGAAGAAGAAAUGAUCAAGAUUAGAUCCUGUGCUGAAAGAGAAACCAAGAAAAAAGAUGACAUUCCAGAAGAAGACAAAGGAAAUGUAAAACAAUGUGAAAUCAAUUAUGUAAAGAAAUUUCAGAGCUUCCAAGACCACAAACUUAAAAUAAGUAAAGAAGCAGUAAAAUUCUUAAAAAGAUGCAGAAAGAUGGAUUUUUGCAUGAGAUGCUUCUGGACAGAGAACCAAAUUGAAAGCCGACAGAUACUGCAAAUGACUGGGAUUUUUGUUUCUGCCUUAUCUUUUUGUGUUUUUUUCUGAAUAAAAUAUUCAGAGGAAAUGCUUUUACGGAG